rnacentral:tRNA from 1 species
GCACAGGUGGCCGAGUGGUUAAGGCGUGAGACUCGAAAUCUUAUAGGUUUUCCUGCACAGGUUCGACUCCUGUUCUGUGCG